AUUGGUGCUUGCACCAGAUGACGAGUGGCGAACGGGUGCGUAACGCGUAUACAACCUACCUCUUAUUAAGGAAUAGCUCAGAGAAAUUUGAAUUAAUACCUUAUAAUAUCAUAAAGUCGCAUGGCUUAAUGAUUAAAGAACUUCGAUAAGGGAUGGGUAUGCGUGAUAUUAGCUAGUUGGUAAGGUAACGGCUUACCAAGGCAACGAUAUCUAGGGGGUCUGAGAGGAUGAUCCCCCACACUGGUACUGAGACACGGACCAGACUCCUACGGGAGGCAGCAGUGAGGAAUAUUGGACAAUGGACGAAAGUCUGAUCCAGCCAUGCCGCGUGAAGGAUGAAUGCCCUAUGGGUUGUAAACUUCUUUUAUAUAGGAAGAAACCUCUGGAUUUAUCCAGAGCUGACAUUACUAUACGAAUAAGCAUCGGCUAACUCCGUGCCAGCAGCCGCGGUAAUACGGAGGAUGCAAGCGUUAUCCGGAUUUAUUGGGUUUAAAGGGUCCGUAGGCGGAAUUUUAAGUCAGUGGUGAAAGCCUGCAGCUCA
rnacentral:rRNA from 1 species